rnacentral:tRNA from 1 species
GAGGCUGGGGCCCGGAGGAGCGCCUGCCUUGCACGCAGGAGGUCCGCGGUUCGAUCCCGCGUAGCUCCACCA